AGUUCCCAGACAGCGCCCAAGGAGGAAGCACCGUUCGUGUCGCUCUUGGUCGCCUCGCCAACGCCGCCACUCGCGAGGCGUCGCCACCGACCAGAGAGGGUCACGUCCCCGAGAAGCGCCUCUUGGGACUCGGUGCUUCGUGACCCGCAUCCGUCGCCCUCACAGAUCGAAGCCUAAUCCUUCUGUUCGACCUCCAUCUGCAACUUCCUUCUUCCCAGAAUACCCAUCCGCGGCGCCAGACAGACCCUCAGCUCCGACUGCUUCGUAGAAUCUAGAGAUUUCCUUCAAAAAAAUCUUGAACUUUUUAUUUCAACUCCGUGGAAGGGUCGAACAAGGCAAUUUCCCUUGUUAUCGGUCGUUCUGUUAAAACUGUAUACGAGGCCCGACCAGUGAAUAGUCAUUAUACAAACGGAAAUAAUUUCAUAUAUAUAUGUCUAGACAUGCAUCUCUACCCGAUAGAUAGAUAAAUGUAUACCCAUCAGAUAGAUAUACGGUUAUACAUUUAUUUCUUUAUAGGCAUGUCCUUAUGAGUAUUCAGUGGGUCGGGCCUCGCACACUUUUAACAAACAGACCGUAAUAAUGACAUUGUAUAUUAACUCACAAACACAAUCUGAUUCCUAAGGUCUCUCUCGCAGGAAGUCCUUGGGACGUGUGCAUUCCCAGCCUCGAGAAGGAGCUCAUCUGGACUCGAAAAGUUCCGGUUGAUUUUCUCCCAAGACGCAGUGAAAUGAACUGAACAUAAGUCUUUCGAGCAAACAAGAAAGAAAUGUAUAGAGAGAGGGGUGGCCUUCCGAAAUCGAUGCUAUACAUUCCAAGCCUUUUCAGUUGGCUGAUAAAUGUCUAAUUAUUUAUUCUGUAGUUUUUGUAUGUUUUACAUAGUGAGCAGCCAGACUGUAUGUGUGAAUAUUCAUACUUGAAUAUUUCUCUCUCUCUCUCUCUCUCUCUC